CGCAAUGGGCGAAAGCCUGAUGGAGCAACGCCGCGUGCAGGAUGAAGGCCUUAGGGUUGUAAACUGCUUUUAUUUGUGACGAUUAUGACAGUAGCAAAUGAAUAAGGGUCGGCUAAAUACGUGCCAGCAGCCGCGGUCAUACGUAGGACCCAAGCGUUUUCCGGAAUUACUGGGGGUAAAGAGUUGCGUAGGUGGCAUGUUAAGCGGGUAGUGAAAUCGUGUGGCUCAACCAUACAAACAUUAUUUGAACUGGCAAGCUAGAGUGCUAUAGAGGUUACUGGAAUUUUUAGUGUAGGAGUGAAAUCCGUAGAUAUUAGAAGGAACACCGAUGGCGUAGGCAGGUAACUGGAUAGCAACUGACACUGAGGCACGAAAGCGU
rnacentral:rRNA from 1 species